rnacentral:rRNA from 1 species
UGCAGAGGGUGCGAGCGUUGUCCGGAAUCACUGGGCGUAAAGGGCGCGUAGGCGGCUCUGCACGUCCGUUGUGAAAUCGCCCGGCUCAACUGGGCGGGGUCAGCGGAUACGGCGGAGCUUGAGCAAGCUAGGGGGCAAUGGAAUUCCCGGUGUAGUGGUGGAAUGCGUAGAUAUCGGGAGGAACACCAGUGGCGAAGGCGGUUGCCUGGGGCUUUGCUGACGCUGAUGCGCGAAAGCGUGGGGAGCGAUCCGG